UCGCUUGAACCUGGGAGGUGGAGGUUGCAGUGAGCUAAUAUCGUGCCACUGCACUCCAGCCUGGAUGACAGAGCAAGAUUCGGUUUCAAAAAUGAAUAAAUAUAAAUAAAUAAAUUUAGAAGGAAACAAAUAGAAAAAAACAUUUUGCAAGUCCACAGCAAUAACUGACUCAGGUACAAAUCCAUGAAUGUUAAACCAUUGAAUGAAAACUUGAUGAGGAGCAGAAUAAUAUUCACAUAUUCACAAAGGAUCUUCCUACAUAUUUGUUAUAGUUUGCCAAGGGGUAAAAUAGUGCCUUCACAAUGGAGUGCUCUGGGAGUAUCAUCUUUGACAAGUGAUCAAAGUGAACAUUUUCAAUAAUAGGACAAACCGACAUCGUGUGCCUCCUGGUACAACAAGCUGAAAAGAACACCGCAUCACUAAGUACUUUUGCUCAGAAAUGCAUCCCCUAAGUUCAGUCAUGAGGAAACAGAAAAACAAAACAAAACCGAAGAUGUUUCCUUGCCAUUCAAAACUGCAAAACUCAUGAAAGAAAGAAAGGCUGAGACCUGUUUCAGAUUCAAGGACAGUAAGGAGACAAGGCAAACACAACAAGUGAUUCUGGAUUGCAUCCCAGAUUGGAAGAAGAAACUGCCAUGAAAGAUAUUCUUGGACAAUUUGUGAAAGUUGAAUAUGGACUACAUACCAAACGACGAUCACUAAAAGGACUGCAACUUCAGUCGGGUGCUCCUUAACACCCUCUCCUGGAAGGCAGCCACUGUGCCGCAAGGAAGCCCUCUAAGGCAGCCCAUGGCAAGAUCUCUACGGAGAUCCCUACAACUGUGCCGGAGCUCCCAGGUGGAAAGCAGGUGGCUUGAAAGAGGCUCCUUCAGCCUCCAGCGGAGAACCCCAGCUGACCCUGCGUGGAGCAGAGACUCACCAUUCCCAUCAAGCCCUGCCCAAAUUACAAAAUCAUGAGCAAAACAAAUGAUGGUGGUUGUUUUAAGAUAAACGAUACAGAGAGACCCAGCUACAAAGUGGUGGAGGGGAAGCGAGUCCUGUAGCUUUCAGCUGCGUUGCAUCAAAUAAUCCAGCUUUGCCACAUCACAGCUGGGAAACGUCAGGCAAAUCUCCCCGCAGGUGAGAGCACCUAGCACAACUGCAGACACUUAGAAUAAGCAAAUACUACUGCUUGAGUGUUAAAACUCCUCAAACCCCACUUGGAAGUAUAAACACAUCUUCCUUUAUCAACGUUAAGAGUUAAACUUGUCCCACCGGAUCUAAUUUGGAGGUUUCUUCUUUAGUAGGUCUCACACUUUACAGAAGCCAGCUGAUGAGUCUGUUAAACUGAAAACCCAGAAUCUUUCUCAGUUCUCCCAUUUCCCACUUCUGGGGUCAAACCCUGGAGUUUGUAUUUUAAAAUAUUUUUCAACUUUACUGACAUACAAUUGAAGUACACUAAAUGGCAUAUAUUGAAAGUGCACAAUGUGAUCAGUUUUGACACAUGUAUACCUCCAUGAAUCCAUCUUCACAAUCAAGAUUAUAAAUAUUUCCUUGACUAGCCGGGUGCAGUGGCUCAUGCCUGUAAUCCCAGCAUUUUGGGAGGCUGAGGCGGGCAGAUCACCUGAGGUCAGGAGUUCGAGACCAGCCUGUCCAGCAUGGUAAACCCCGUCUCUACUAAAAAUACAAAAAUUAGCCGGGCAUGGUGGCAGGUGCCUGUAAUCCCAGCUACUCUGGAGGCUGAGGCAGGAGAAGCGCUUGAACCCGGGAGGCAGAGGCUGCAGUGAGCCAAGAUCAUGCCAUUGCACCCCAGCCUGGGAGACAAGAGCAAGACUUCAUCUUAAAAAAAAAAUUUCCUUGACCACCAAAGAUGGCUUUUGUACCCUUUGUAAUCCAGCCUUCCUUCCAUCACUUUACCCGACAACCACUGAUAUGCUUUGUCACUCUAUUCGUGCAUACUUUAAAAAAAACAAAAACACUGCACUCCAGCCUGGUGACAGAGCGAGACUCUGUCUCAGAAAAAAAACAAAAAGAAAAAAACAAAAAACAAAAACUUUAUAUAUUGAAUCAUAUCUCAUGAACUCUUUUUGUUGUCUGGCUUGUGUCACUCAACACCAUGAUUUUGAGAUUCGUCCACAUAGUUCAUGUAUCAACAUUUCAUUCCUCUUUAUUGCUGAUUAAUACUCCAGCGUAUGAACGCCACAGUGUCCAAUCAUCUGCUGAUGGACAUUUGGGUUGUUUCCAAUUUUGGCUAGGACAAAUAAAGCUGCUGUGAACAGCCAUGGGUAGUUGGGUACACUUGGGAGUUGAAUGACUGAGCUGCAUGGCAGAUGAUGUUUAACUUUUUUUAUAAACUGCAAAACCAUUUUUGCCAAGUGGUUUUACCUUCUUAUGUCCCUUACAGCAGUGCAUGAGAGUUCUGGCUAUCCCACAUCUUUGCCAACACUUGGUACAGUUUUAAAAAUUUUAGCCAGUGGUGUGCUGGACCCAGCUUGCACCAGCUUGUGGGAGCCAACUCUGCAUCUUUUCCCAAUUCUGGGUUCAGCGACUUCUUGUUGGUACCUUGAAAUCAACCAUGGUGGAAAUAUUUACUCCAUAGA
rnacentral:lncRNA from 1 species